GGCAGCUGUGGCAGAUAUGGAAAUGCACCGGAUUGUGGUUCCGGAUUAUGCGGGUUCAAAUCCCGUCGGCCGCCC
rnacentral:tRNA from 1 species